GCAUGUGUGGCUGAGCAGCAAAAGCACCUUCCUUCGAAAUCAGGCGUCCGACGACUUCGUAGAUGCGAGUCCUACCACAUGCACCA
rnacentral:tRNA from 1 species